UACACAUGCAGUCGAGCGGAGAUGAGGUGCUUGCACCUUAUCUUAGCGGCGGACGGGUGAGUAAUGCUUAGGAAUCUGCCUAUUAGUGGGGGACAACAUUCCGAAAGGAAUGCUAAUACCGCAUACGCCCUACGGGGGAAAGCAGGGGAUCUUCGGACCUUGCGCUAAUAGAUGAGCCUAAGUCGGAUUAGCUAGUUGGUGGGGUAAAGGCCUACCAAGGCGACGAUCUGUAGCGGGUCUGAGAGGAUGAUCCGCCACACUGGGACUGAGACACGGCCCAGACUCCUACGGGAGGCAGCAGUGGGGAAUAUUGGACAAUGGGCGGAAGCCUGAUCCAGCCAUGCCGCGUGUGUGAAGAAGGCCUUUUGGUUGUAAAGCACUUUAAGCGAGGAGGAGGCUACUUAGAUUAAUACUCUAGGAUAGUGGACGUUACUCGCAGAAUAAGCACCGGCUAACUCUGUGCCAGCAGCCGCGGUAAUACAGAGGGUGCGAGCGUUAAUCGGAUUUACUGGGCGUAAAGCGUGCGUAGGCGGCUGAUUAAGUCGGAUGUGAAAUCCCUGAGCUUAACUUAGGAAUUGCAUUCGAUACUGGUCAGCUAGAGUAUGGGAGAGGAUGGUAGAAUUCCAGGUGUAGCGGUGAAAUGCGUAGAGAUCUGGAGGAAUACCGAUGGCGAACGCAGCCAUCUGGCCUAAUACUGACGCUGAGUACGAAAGCAUGGGGAGCAAACAGGAUUAGAUACCCUGGUAGUCCAUGCCGUAACGAUGUCUACUAGCCGUUGGG
rnacentral:rRNA from 1 species